AGUGAACGCUGGCGGUAGGCCUAACACAUGCAAGUCGAACGGCAGCACAGUAAGAGCUUGCUCUUACGGGUGGCGAGUGGCGGACGGGUGAGGAAUACAUCGGAAUCUACUUUUUCGUGGGGGAUAACGUAGGGAAACUUACGCUAAUACCGCAUACGACCUACGGGUGAAAGCAGGGGAUCUUCGGACCUUGUGCGAUUGAAUGAGCCGAUGUCGGAUUAGCUAGUUGGCGGGGUAAAGGCCCACCAAGGCGACGAUCCGUAGCUGGUCUGAGAGGAUGAUCAGCCACACUGGAACUGAGACACGGUCCAGACUCCUACGGGAGGCAGCAGUGGGGAAUAUUGGACAAUGGGCGCAAGCCUGAUCCAGCCAUACCGCGCGGGUGAAGAAGGCCUUCGGGUUGUAAAGCCCUUUUGUUGGGCAAGAAAAGCAGCAGGUUAAUACCCCGCUGUUCUGACGGUACCCAAAGAAUAAGCACCGGCUAACUUCGUG
rnacentral:rRNA from 1 species